rnacentral:rRNA from 1 species
GGGGAAUAUUGGACAAUGGGCGAAAGCCUGAUCCAGCAAUGCCGCGUGUGUGAAGAAGGCCUUCGGGUUGUAAAGCACUUUAAGUUGGGAAGAAAAAGCUCUGGCUAAUAUCUAGAGCCUUGACGGUACCAACAGGAUAAGCACCGGCUAACUCUGUGCCAGCAGCCGCGGUAACACAGAGGGUGCUAGCGUUAAUCGGAUUUACUGGGCGUAAAGCGUGCGUAGGCGGUUUGAUAAGUCGAUUGUGAAAGCCCCGGGCUUAACCUGGGAAUUGCAGUUGAUACUGUCAGACUCGAAAACGGUAGAGGGAGGCGGAACUCCAGGUGUAGCGGUGAAAUGCGUAGAUAUCUGGAAGAACACCGAUGGCGAAGGCAACCUCCUGGGCCUGUUUUGACGCUGAGGCACGAAAGCGUGGGUAGCAAAC